UGUUUGUUACUACAUCCGGCAUCAGCCAUCAGAAAGCACGAACUGCACCUAAAGCACAUGAAGGGUUGAAUUGUUAUUUUACUCACUUAAUGAGUGUUUCAUGUUUGUGUGUCAGUUGAUUCUGCAAAACCUUUCUGCUUAAAAAUAAUAGAAUAUCAUGGAAACCACCAAGCAAGAAUCACAUUUGCUGCCACUGUGUCAGACCAGCACAAAAAAAAAAAAAUUAUCCAAGAUUAACUCCUAAACCAUCUCUGUGGCCCAACAGCAUUAGGUUAAGUGAGAGAACCAAUGGUUUUUUUUCUCCCAGGAAGUAAACACCAAUUUGGGACUAAAUGUUGUGACUUAAUUUCAGUCUUUGCUACAGUGAAUCCGUUUUUAGGGCAGAACAUGCCUAAACUAGGACUUAAAUAUUGCUGAUAACAAGGG